rnacentral:rRNA from 1 species
AACGAACGCUGGCGGCAGGCCUAACACAUGCAAGUCGAGCGCGCCUUCGGGUGAGCGGCGGACGGGUGGGUAACGCGUGGGAAUAUGCCCUUCUCUACGUAAUAGUCCUGUGAAACUGGGGGUAAUACCGUAUACGCCCUCUGGUGGCAAGACUUAUCUGGGAAGGAUUAGCUCGAUUUGGAUUAGGUGGUUGGUAGGGUAAUGGCCUAUCAAACCGACGAUCCUUACACGGUUUGAGAGGAAGGGCAGACACACUGGCACUGGGACACGGUCCAGAAUCCUACGGGAAGGGGGAAUGGGGGACGGUGCAACACGGGGGCAAUCCUGAUGUAGCCAUGCCGCGUGAGUGAUGAAGGCAUUAGGGUUGUAAAGCUCUUUCAGCUGGGAAGAUAAUGACGGUACCAGAAGAAGAAGCCCCGGCUAACUCCGUG